UACAGAGGGCCCAAGCGUUGUUCGGAUUCACUGGGCGUAAAGGGUGCGUAGGCGGUCGGGUAAGUCUGAUGUGAAAUCUCACAGCUUAACUGUGAAACUGCAUUGGAUACUAUCCGGCUCGAGGAAUGGAGGGGAGACUGGAAUACUUGGUGUAGCAGUGAAAUGCGUAGAUAUCAAGUGGAACACCAGUGGCGAAGGCGAGUCGCUGGACAUUUCCUGACGCUGAGGCACGAAAGCCAGGGGAGCAAACGGG
rnacentral:rRNA from 1 species